GACGAACGCUGGCGGCGUGCUUAACACAUGCAAGUCGAACGGAAAGGUCCUGCUUGCAGGGUACUCGAGUGGCCAACGGGCGAGUAACACGUGGGUGAUCUGCCCUGCACUUCGGGAUAAGCCGGGGAAACUGGGCCUAAUACCGGAUAGGAGCCAUUUUUAGUGUGAUGGUUGGAAAGUUUUUUCGGUGUAGGAUGAGCUUGCGGCCUAUCUGCUUGUUGGUGGGGUAAUGGCCUACCAAGGCGGCGUCGGGUAGCCGGCCUGAGUGGGUGGACGGCGACAUUGGGACUGAGAUACGGCCCAGACUCCUACGGGAGGCAGCAGUGGGGAAGCUUGCACAAUGGGCGCAAGCCUGGUGCAGCGACGCCGCGUGGGGGAUGACGGCCUUCGGGUUGUAAACUCCUUUCGCUAGGGACGAAGCUUUUUGUGACGGUACCUAGACAAGAAGCACCGGCUAACUACGUG
rnacentral:rRNA from 1 species